UGGUGGAACUCGGAACCUGGGAAAGGGCGGGCUAGGCGGCCGAGGCCGAGGGGCGUGGUCUGCGCGGUGUUUAAGUAGCAUCUGGCUGCAGGGGCGGCCUGCGGUUGCCUGGCGCCUGAGAGCUAGGGAAAGCGAAUGACGUCAGGCAGAAAAGCGGGAUCCGAGCCUUAGGGCUGUGGGCGGGAGGGAGGGAAUCGGAGCCUGCGUGGUGGAGGGAGCUGGCGCCUGGGAACGAGGCUUGUGACGUAGGCCGAGGGGCGUGUCCUGAGGCCGAGGAAAGACUGCAGAGGGGAGGUGGUGCCUGUGAAGCAGAAAAUGGCGCCUGCGAAUGAGCAAAGUUUGUGACGCGGCGAGGUUUUUGCCUCUGGCUGAGGCCUUCUUCCCAGGACGGGAGAAAGUGCAGGGAAUACAUACCGAAAUUUUUACGGAUAAAGAACCAUCUUGUAAGCAGCUUACUCGCAAAUGGUUGGAAAAAAUAGCGUACAUAAAAAUACGAUGGCAGUUCUGUCAUGACUGCCAUCUGGGCUGACAGAUCAUGAGACAUCCCAAUUUCAGAGAUGUUAAACAUUUUUAAAGUGUCCUUGAACCUGAAGAAAUCUGGUAGUCUUAUUCUGUGAAAAUUGCUUUAAACUUCAGGCUCCUGUGAAGACUUUAGAAAUUCAGGUACGAGGGAUUUUGCUCACCUCUGCAGUGUGAUUUUUUUUUUAAUUGCUGUAUAGUUGAUACACAGUGUUACAUUAGUUCCAGGUGUAUGCUACAGAGUGGUUUUAAUGUUAAUUUUCCUUAAAAAUCUGCUCUUCAUUCAAGGAUGAGCAGUGCCUCCCCUUGCAAGGAAAAGCUUUAGGGAAGACGUUAAGGUCAUAGACCUGCCAGGGAGGCAUUGAAAGCCAGCCACAGCAGGGAGGGGUGGGGGUCAGUGAUGGGGUGUUCCAGAAGAGUGAUGGGAGGUUUGUAGCAUGCGCCACUGGGGCAGGGAGGGCGUGUGUUCCUGGUAUGAGGGAUGUGCAGGGGGGUCAGUGCAGCAAAACAAACAACCCCACCAAAAUGUGUGCCUGUGUGGGUGACGCAUGACUGUUGCAAGAUUUUCUAGCCCUCCAUCCCUCCACCUCCCUCAUCCCUUUAUGAACACGGGAAAAGAUGCCAUUUUAAAGAAUCCCACUGAAAGGGUUAAAUUGCUAGAACACUAAUCACUACAGCGCGAGAAUAAUAUUUUUAAAAAUUGUUUAUUUGAGGCGGUUAACUUUGGGACAGCCUCUUAUAUGUCACAAAUCCCAUAGCAGAGCAGAUGUGUGACUGAGUGUGGACAGGGGUUGUGUGUCUGUGAGCUUUGAGGUCCAAGCCCUGGGACUGAAUCAGUAACGGCUAACAUUCAUUCAGCAUUUUUACUCUAUGUCAGGUCUUUCUGGUCUUGAGAAUUGCCCUUGACAUUUUACAGAGGCAGCGUUCAGCCGUCCUAAAUGUUCAUCCUAGGUGUCAUGCAUAUCAGAGUUCCUCUUUUAAAAGAGAGCUGGUCAAGCUGUACACUUUAAAAUGGUUCAGGUGGUAAAUUUUACGGUAUGUGCUGCUUUUUGCCACAAUU